AGUAAGUCAAGGGGUCUGAAUACUUUCCAAAUGCACUGUAUGUAGACUGAAUAUUGCAACACCAUAACACAUAGUUAUUUUGACUUGAUUAUUCUUCUCUGUUCCUUGUAUCAAUAUUUAAAAUGUUGUAUCUUUAACUCUGCAUUAUUGGAAAAGGACCCGUAAGUCAGCAUUUCACUAUUAGCAUGUGUUUACGAAACAUGUGACAAAUAAAAUGCAGAUUGAAAUACGUUCCUGUACUCAUUUUGGGUGCCUGAACUCUGCAAUAUGUUUAAGCCAGUGUUCUAUAAGAGGUUCUGGAAGUCAAGCAGUAUAAAGUGGGAGGUUCUGGAACUCAGUUCUGGUGUUCUGUCCCUUGUCAAGUUUGUGUUUUUUCCUCUGUGCUUCAAAGAGCAAAUGGACACAAAAGUCGAUGCAAAUACUACGCUGAUAAAGAGCAAGUUCUUAUGGUAAUAAUUUGUGCUUCAGUGUUUUAUCAGUGGUGGAAGAGAUACUCUGGAGCUGCUGCAGUUUGUCUGGGUCUGCUGUGUGUUCUCCUAUUUGCUGGUAUCAUAGGCCUGUUGCUCUACCAGAGAAACCAAUUGACCAGUUCCAACACCCUGACCAAAGAGAGUGACCAGUUACAGACCAGCAACAACACCCUGACCAAAGAGAGAGACCAGCUACAGAAAGGUGUUGAGAAAGUGUGUUCGCAAGGAUGGAAGAAGCUUGGUAGCAGUUGUUACUACAUCUCUACUGAGUACAAAUCCUGGGAGGAGAGCAGACAGGACUG